rnacentral:lncRNA from 1 species
GGAGGGUGCUCUGGGUGGCUCUUCCCCAGGACAUGCUGGUAGGUGAGCAGCACAGUCACUUGCACUUGGGGGGCUGUUCCCCUGGUUCAUUCCUCCUUUUCCCUGACGGUAUUUGAAGAAGACCUGUUUUACUCAGGGAUCCGUGGAUUGAGGGGUCCUGCGAUGCCACGUCGGAGAUGCUGUGGUUGGUUUGUUACAGAUGCAGGCUUGUUUCUGGGGAGAAACCCUGACUCCAAUUCAGAGAAAUGGGAGCUGCAUUCAGUUGGGACACGAAUACAGGAACUGCUGUCAGAACCUUCUAGAAGGAGGAGCUGAGAUCCCACUUUCUGAGUUCUGCUGGAGCCAGAGCCCCAGCUUGUCCGUGUUGUGCCUGACCAUUUCCUUCUUGGCCCUGAUGGGGUUGGAGUUCUAUGGAAACUUCCCAUUAUCACUGCCUCCUUGGGAAUUUGUCUGUUUCUCAUUUAUAUCUGGAGAACCAUUCUCGCUGUGAGUAUACUAAAGUAGCUUAUAUAUACUGUUCUUCAUAAAUAAGCAGAAAAUUGUAUAGUCACUGCACCUUUUCUAUCCAUUCAGUAAUAUAAAUUUCCCUCUAAUACAUCAAUUUUGAUGAUCACCUAGAUUGAAAUACAUUUAAAUUUGUGUUGCAGUGCCUUCUGUGAUC